GUUUGAAAUAUGUAAAUUUCUUAUCGAUUUGUUUAUUCUUAAUGAAGAAGUUGAAGUUUCCCAGGUUUUGAGAGGUGGUGGACGACGCUAUCAGAAAGAUGGGACUGAUUUUGGCUUCUUCUUUAAAUGUGUACAGCACAAAUUAUUAAAGAACCUGUCUGCACCUAACAAGUUCAGCAAGAUACCUCCCUGGACCAGAUGACAUGUCAUUUUUGGACAUUGCAUACACAAUCUACACAAGAGUUUGAAGAAUGUCGAAGUGUAAUGUCCUGAUUUGUAAAAAUUUGUAAGUGUAAUGCUAUACAAUGUCAUGAGAUUAUCAAUGUUGCCCUAAACUACACUUUUCUGAGGAAGUUGAUCCUCAAUUACUUUUUUACCAGUGGAAUAUUCUUAAGUCACUAGAAAACAACCUCUUUAUUCUCAACUGCAGGUAAACCACAUUUUACAUGUCAUAUUUUAAUUAACAGGAUAUACUAUUAAGUGUUAUGUGUUAAUCUCCUAUAUAAUGUUUUCAUGCAGUUUUGAAACUUUAUGGAACUUGGAUCUGUCAUAUGGUAUCAUUAAAGAAGUGGUCAAAGGUUUGACUUCUAUUAUCUAGAUGAUGAUCUGUAUGUUUUCAUGCUCCUUUUUAUUCCUUCUUUCCUCCAUAGUCCUCCUUGCAGAUUUCUGUAAACCCUAGAGGAAUUCUGUCACCACUUCCUUCACAAUCCUUCUACGAUUUCCAAAAUCGUUAUCCUUCUUAUUCAAAAGACACUGACAUGGAUCUUCCAAGUCUAGCUGUUGUUCUACAAACAACACUUAGUCCCAAUCCUGCUGAAAGAAAAGCCGCUGAAGAGAGCCUCAAUAAGGUAUUACUUCUCAUUUGGAUCGAAGUUACAUUGGAAAUCGUAUUCAAUCAUGGAUCAUCCA